AUUGAACGCUGGCGGCAUGCCUUACACAUGCAAGUCGAACGGCAGCACGGGAGCAAUCCUGGUGGCGAGUGGCGAACGGGUGAGUAAUACAUCGGAACGUGCCCAGUAGUGGGGGAUAACCCGGCGAAAGCCGGACUAAUACCGCAUACGACCUACGGGUGAAAGCAGGGGAUCGCAAGACCUUGCGCUAUCGGAGCGGCCGAUGUCAGAUUAGCUUGUUGGCGGGGAAAAGCCCACCAAGGCGACGAUCUGUAGCUGGUCUGAGAGGACGACCAGCCACACUGGGACUGAGACACGGCCA
rnacentral:rRNA from 1 species